ACUUUUUAGAUUGUAAUUGUAGUCUUGGCUUGUAGUCUUCUCCUUCUCCUUAAGAGAGAGGAACCGAAUCUUGAAGGUUCUAUACAAGUGAGGUGGAUUCUUCACUUAUGUUGAGCAUUUGGCAAGAAAGGUGGGUUUUGAGGAGUGUGAAUUCUCUUGGUCCACUUAAGAAUGAAGUGUUAUCCAUCCAUGGUGAAGUGUGUCUAAUUGUUUGAUACACAAUUAGGUGCUUAUUAUUAAAGGUGGUGUAUGUUUCAUUAUCUAUCUUUACUUUUAUCAAAUCUUCUUCAUCUCUCUUCUUCUAUGUGUUGUUUUCUCUUCUUGUAGUUGCUGGUUUUUGUGUUUCAAGUCCUUAAUUUUGGUUAUUAGCUUAUUUUAGUGUAUCAUUUGAUAUCAUAGUCAUGUUUUAGAGUUGUUCCCACAACUCUAAGUCUUGUAUUAUUGAUUACCUUGAAGAAAAUCAACAAAAAAGAGUGUAGAAAAUAAAAAAUCUCACAAAAAAAUUGUUAACCCAUUUUUGCGUUUUGGCAGAUUUUUGAGACUUAGAUCUAUUUUAUUUUUUGUGUGUUUUGUUAGUUUCUAGAUCCUUGUUUUCUAGCACUAAGAGAGUCUAGAUCUAAGUUUUGAGCAAGAUCCGGGUUGUUUUGAGCAUUCCACCAUUGUUGAACUUGAGUUUGAAGCUUUUUGAGGGUGGAUUUCAUGUGGUAUAUUGUGGUGUGGAUGUUUUGAAUUUGAUUUUAUGUUAUUUGUGCUUGGCUUGGCAAAGGAAACCUAGAUCUAAAAGAAAAUUUGAAUUUGGAGGUCAUUUGCCUUAUGGUCAAACUUGGCCAACUCUUGAAUAUUCAUAUUGUUCUUCCUCAAUCUUCAUAUCUUGUUGGAGAAGAUUAUUCAAAAGUGCUUGUUUGAUCUUGAAAAGGGAGGAAAGAGAGUGUAUUAGUUGUUAAAGGCAAUUUCCAAGAAGCUUCCUAGUCUUGCCAAAAGAAGAAAACAACAAAGACAAAAGGAUUCUUCAAGUACAAUUGCAAGUACAAGGGGGGACUAAUUCAUUUCAAAUUCAUUUUGAAGCUUAAAAAGGCUCCAAAAACCUUGCAAAUUUCUCCCAAAACCGAAAUCACACUCUCUUGGGAUUGAGUUGGCUGAGACACAAAAUUAAACAAUUGAAAAAUUUGCAAAGUUGACGUCCAAUCACAAAGUGCCAUGUCAUCAUUUUUGGGAACAACCAAAUUUAUCUCAAACUUGAAUUUCUUAGUUUCUAAUUUUUGUUUCUUGGUUACAUUUUGAUUCUAUCACUAAUUAGCAAACUAGUAACUACCUACUAGGUUGAUAAUUAGUUUAGUGUCCUUUUAUUUCGCGUUAACGUUCUUUUGAGCUUUUCUCGUUUUGUAACUUGUAGUAUCUUGUUGGUUCAAGUCCGAAAGCAAUUUUUCUUUGAGUCAUCUCAAAAAAAAUCUAUUUCGGACAAAAGUAGACUCAUCCCUCAAUCACUCAUGUAGUACAAGUUGAAUUUUCAACACUUGUGAAACCAAGUGUGCGGUAAAAAUCUAAGAGUGGGAGUUGGUGAGGUUAUUUUGAACUAACAUUCUUUGUUUGUUUUUGUUAGUAUCUUUUCUUAGGUACCAUGGACAAAAAUGCAAUUUGGACCCAUCUUGAAGUUCUUUCCCGAGAAAUGACAAAAAUGUAAAUGGUUUUUGAUAGGCUAGAAACUGAGAUGUCAUCAAUGAAAGGAGGUGUGUCUACUUUGAAAAGAAGGUUGGAACGUGUGAAAGGUCAAAAGAAUUCCAAUCACUCCACUUCUCAAAACUACUAUGCUUCCUCAAGUGAUAAAGAGAUGAAUCAAAGGAGAAAAUUAUCAAUCAAAGGAGAAAAUUGUCAAACUCUCUUGUAAUGAGAGCAUCCCAAAGGAACAAGUAGGCUGCCACGACACACUACAAGGUGAAGAAGAAUGUGCUCAAGAACUUCAAGAUGUGAAUUUGUGGUCAAAUUCUUUUCAAGAUAGAGAGGAUGAUACGGGUGUAAAGAAUACAUGAUCUUUCUCAAAGGACCAAGCUCGGGUUUACAAGUGGAUGAAGACCUUUUUUUGAAUAAUUUCAAAGUCUUGGCUUAAGUUGAAGAGAGAAGAAGGGUCCAUGCAUUCCAAAGCCUCCCCUUGCCUUCUUGUUAAGGACAUUGUGGUCUUUUAAAGCCUUUCUUUUACACUCCAUAGGAGCCCCCUUCAUUAAGGGUAUUUUAGUCUUUGAUCGUAAUAACUAUAAAUAGACAAUUAGACUUCUAUUUUUCAUUAAUUGUUUAAUGAUAUUGAAGAACAUUUGUUUCUCUUAAGAGAGAGUGUUUUAGUGUAGGGCUUGGAAAAACCAUUGUAGUGUAGGACUUAGAAAAGUCAUUGUAACUAGGGUUAGCUUGAGUGUGGAUUCACUUGAGUUGACAAUCCGG
rnacentral:lncRNA from 1 species